CUCUACGGCCAUGCCACCCCGAACAAGCCUGAUACCAUCUGAUCUUGGAAGCUAAGCAGGGUCGGGCCUGGUUAGUACUUGGAUGGGAGACCACCAGGGAAGAUCAGGUGCUGCAGGUG
rnacentral:rRNA from 1 species